GAGAGUAGGUCUCUCGCAAUCGCUUUGCAGGAAGAGGUUGCAAACCGGUGUAUGCUGCUUUCUCCCGAAAGGGUUAAGGUAGUGAACGAUACAUUUAAAAGGCAGUGAUGAACUGUCAGGU
rfam:Environmental sequence, whole genome shotgun sequence.